CCCUUAGAUGUUCUGGGCCGCACGCGUGCUACACUGAGUGGAUCAGCGGGUCAGGUUGCGCGAAAGUGUUUCCUAAUCUUGAAAUCCGCUCGUGAUGGGGAUUGACGGUUGCAAUUUUCCGUCAUGAACGAGGAAUACCUUGUAAGCGCGGGUCAUCAUCCCGCGCUGAAUACGUCCCUGCCCUUUGUACACACCGCCCGUCGCUCCUACCGAUUGAGUGGUCCGGUGAGGCUUUGGGAUCUGAGCAAAGAGAGCGUUUCGCUCGUUUUACCCGGAAAACUCAGUCGAACCUUAUCAUUUAGAGGAAGGAGAAGUCGUAACA
rnacentral:rRNA from 1 species